rnacentral:rRNA from 1 species
UACGGAGGGCGCAAGCGUUAUUCGGAGUCACUGGGCGUAAAGAGCGUGUAGGCGGCCGAGCAAGUUGGAUGUGAAAUCGCGAGGCUAAACCGGGGGAGGACAGUCGAGACUGCUGGGCUAGAGGCCGGGAGAGGAUGGCGGAAUUCCCGGUGUAGGGGUGAAAUCCGUAGAGAUCCGGAGGAACACCAGUGGUGCAGACGGCGAUCUGGACCGUGACUGACGCUGAGACGCGAAAGCGUGGGGAGCGAACGGG